rnacentral:sRNA from 1 species
AGGAAAACACCUCAGGUAAUCAUCAAAUGGCUCGGGUGUUAAUCCACAUAACACAUCCGGGCAAAGCCUAAGUGCGCCUCGGGGUUGUUUAGGUUCGGCUCGGGAGACGUUUGGUCGUACAACACUCUCUCCAACCCGAAGCCCCUCAACAUUCUCCUAGGUCUAAACAUUCGCCCGAGAAAAAGUGAUAAUAUAUUUUUAGUCAAUUAUUCCUAAAACACCAAUCAUGUCAUUGUAGUAUUUUAGGUGUCAAUCCAAAUGGGUGUGAUGCAAACAGAUGAGAUGUGAUCAGAAGUCUCUAAGUCAAGCCAAGCAAUAACAGAUUUGGGGUUUCUAACAGUCCUAAGCGAACAUGCAGAAAACAGAAGCAAUAACAGAAUUACUAAAAUCACUCGACCACAACAGGCUGAUGCCAGAAGUAGGAUGUGGUCGAGUAACAGGUCGAGUAACAGACAGGAUAUGAAACAGCUAUACUCGACUGCACAGUCUGUUGCCAGACACUGGGUGUGGUCGAGUAUACUGGUCGAGUGAUUGUAAAAACUAAGAAACAGGCAAUGAGAACGAUUAAGCGAUAACGAUAAAACAGAGAAAUAAGGUAGACGAGAAAUUCCUAAGGAUGGGGUAAUCGAGUAGAGUGGUGUCCUAGCCUAUUCGAAUGGUUAACAAGCGCAAUCAAGCUAUCCCUAGACAACAGGUUCAACAACAGAUCAAUCCACUCCCGUGAUAGAAAUCCUCAAGCAAAGCUAGCCCAGACUAAUUCCCAUUAACGGAAUCUAACUAUGCAGGCAAUACGAACAGACUGAUAAAGUCAAUAAACGCUCUAAACGGCCAAUCCCUUGGGAUAGAGACGCAUAUCUCAGGAACUAGUGGAUCAAGCAUUCCAUCGAACACCUUCUGGGUGCGGGAAUGCUUGGGAUCGAAUUCCAGUUGAUCAGAAAGAAAUAAGCAGUAAACGCAACUAGUCCUAAAGGGAUUCAAUCAAUUCUAAAACUUAACCAUUCUACAGACUACGGAUUCCACAACUACUCUAUCCCAUCCCUAAGAAUUCUAAGUCACUACUCAGACAGCAUGCUCAAAGACAUAAACGCAGGUAAACGAUAAUAUUGCAUAAGUAAAGAGAUAAAGAGUAGAGAAACAAGAUGACUAAUGAAAUCAAACGCGGAAUCUCAAUAACUUGGAAAAAUCGCGAACUACAGGUUGCAGAAGCAAAAGCGGCGUAGCAGAGUAAAACUGAAAAUAAAACUGAAGCAAAAACGCAAUGUCCACUAGAUGUUUUAGGACAGAACCCUAAAACAUCUAUUUAUACCAAACGAAAUAAAAUGAUAGUAGACGAGCCAAUAACCUAAUCGCCCGGCCCAUAGAGUGAUAAUGGGCCGAGAUGGGCUUCGUGAUCAGAUGGAGGUCCAGGCCGCUUCCAAACACUUUGUCUUCUCCUCUUUUCUUCCUUGUGCUCAGCUUGUCUGGUUGAGUGCGGAUUUGAGUAGACUGUGAAGACGUGAUCGAGUGUCCGGUCGAGUGAUGGUGAUGGUGGUGAGUGAUGAUACUCGACCAGGGGGUCGAGUAACGUGGUAGAGUGAAUGGUCGAGUGUGGUCAGGUGGUGUGGCGAAGCGGUACUCGACCGGGGGUCGAGUAAUGUCGUCGAGUGGCCUGAGCUGAGGUUACUCGACCUGGUGGUCGAGUGGACGGGAAGAAUGGCUCCAAAGUCACUCGACCUGGGGGUCGAGUAUGUGGGAAGAAUGGCUCCAAAGUCACUCGGCCUGGGGGUCGAGUAUGUCUUCUGGUUCUGGCUCGUUUCUUCCAAUUUGCUCGCAAACAGCUCCAAAUCACCUGAAAACAACUCAGAAAUGCAAUAUGUAUGCAAAGCUAUCCUAAUCAUGCAAAGUGUGCAAGAAUGAUGAGAAAUGAUAUAAAACAGUGAUGAAUGAUACGAAACUAGACUCAAAGUGAUGAUGAAUAGACACUGAAAACAUGCAAAUUAUAGACAUAUCAACUCCCCCAAACUUAGUCUUUGCUUGCCCUCAAGCAAAUAAGAAGACAUAGUUGAAGGAGAGGAGUGAAGGCGGGGACUCAGAACCAAAGCAUAUGAUAGAGCAAAUAAAAUCAAUGUCCAAGUUGGUAGUUCUAAAAUGCGAUAUGAUUGAAUUCCACUCAAAAACGUUAGCCAUGCCUUGUUAUCAAUAAAUCCGUCUCUUAUACUCGACCUACACAUGUUUUCAAAUCUACCAAUCCCUUUAACAUUCAUUAGUUCUGGAACGUGAAUCAAGCACUGCAUCAUCAAUGAACUCAUUUGGCUAAGGUGAAGGUCAAGAGACAAAGAUGGUCCCCUACAGAAUAGGCUUAAGUAACAGGGGAUCCCUCAAGAAUGAUUGAGCUUUAGUAGAAUGGUAAAGGUAAGUCCCAAGUUAUGCAUACAGAGAUAAGAUCCCAUCUACCCAGAGUAUAACAAUGAAGCUCUAAUGGUAAUCCCAACUCCUGUCCCAACUUAACUCUACCCUUUGCACUCAUGAAUCUUUCAAACUCUUUUUCAUAUCAUUCUUUUUUU